rnacentral:hammerhead_ribozyme from 1 species
GUUCAGCUGACGAGUCCCAAAUGAGACGAAACGCGCGUCCUGGAU